GAACAUGAAAGUAUUUAUUGCUACACUUAUCUAGGCAAAGCCUACCUAUUUGAUUAUUUCAUUCACUCAUUCAUUAAGUAAUUUGUGGUGUUGGGAUGGAACCCAGGAUGUUGUGCAUGCUAGGAAAACACCCAACCACUCAGUCAAAACCCUAAACAGCAAACGUUUUAUUUUGACAAGUUUCAUACAUGUAUAACCUCCAUUUUUAACAUAGAAACCUAAUAAGAAAAUAAUGAGCUCAACUUUAGGGUUAACCCUCUUUAAGUGUGUUGCAAACAAGAAAAAAAAUUAUGAUUCAGAAAAUUACAGCUGGUUUAUUUCUUCCUAGGAGGGAGACUGGGAGGAGAGGGGGGUCGAGAUGUAAAAUGAAUUAAUGAAUGAAUGGGAAAAAAAACAUCAACAUGGGAAGGCAGUAAACUUCUUCAGUCUCCCCAGCGCUUGCCUCUCAUUGCCUCCACCUAAGAUUAUGGCGUAAGAUUAUUACGAGCAUGUAUAAUCAUUUGAUGAAAGUGUUAUAAAAAUGCUGUUUCAACUUCGGAAUAAAUCCGACAUGCGACAGGCAAAAUGAACAAAUGAAACAACGACAAUAAAAACAUUUUCUUGAGCAUCCUGAGCUGCACUGUAUGCAUUAGCAAAUAGAGUUGGAAAUGGGGACGCAGGUCGGUAAUCUCAGCAGCAAUAGGCUGAGGCAGGAUGGUCAAUUUGAACCCAAUCUGGUCUAUACAAAGCCAAUCUGGUCUACACGGCGAGAUAAGAUAACGAAAAAAAAUUAAUUUUGCGUAGUUCAUUACAUCCAAGGGUUGGUCUCCCAUAUCCAGACAUGAACAAAACCGCUAAACUAUGCAUGUAUACAUCUCUAAGGCUUUCAGGAUAGAGUCCAAAAGCUAAGAGAUAAGGUCAACUUAGCUUCUGUUACACAAUAACCCACAGCGUAGACUAAUUAGAGGAAGUUGGCACGUCCACUCGGAGCUUGGCAUUGCGAAAACAAUGGCCUCAGGGUUAGCAGGUACCGGAACCAGAUUUCUGCACGCUUUGUCCCGCGUAGGACAACAGUUCGGACGCACAUUUCUGGAUAAAAGCGGACGCGGCUCCCGACUAGAGCCAGUGGCUCCGAGGAGGGUUGAAGAGGACAGGCGACCGGGUGGGGAACAGGGUGCGGCUUCGCGCUUCCGGUGCCCAGCUUCCGGCUCCGGGUUUGGGCUUGGGGCAGAGGCGGAGCUACGGCCCGCCGCGACUUUCAGACUUGAACCAUGGCUAUGCGCUGGUCGUGCUGGCGGCGUGGCUGCUCCUGGAGGCCGACCGCGGUCGGGAGCCCGCGGCGGGAACGACCUGGCUGUGUGGAGCCUCUCGGAACACGUGCCGCCUCGGACACCCGCGCGCAGAUACCCUAUUUUAGUCUUAUGAAGAUUUUAAUGUCUGCCUCCCCAACUAUGCAUAGUAUAUCACAGUUUCAUCAAAGGACACCAGCAAUGUGCAGUUGUCGUCAAACUCAGAGUGGUGAGAAAUACAGUGAUCCUUUUAAACUUGGCUGGAGAGACUUGAAAGGUCUGUAUGAAGACAUUAGAAAGGAGCUGCACAUCUCCACCAGAGAACUAAAGGACAUGUCCGAAUACUACUUCGAUGGCAAAGGAAAAGCCUUUAGACCGAUUAUUGUGGUGCUAAUGGCCCGAGCGUGUAAUAUUCAUCAUAAUAAUGCCCGAGAGAUGCAAGCCAGCCAGCGCUCCAUAGCCUUAGUUGCAGAAAUGAUCCACACUGCUACUCUGGUUCAUGAUGACGUUAUUGAUGAUGCAAGUUCUCGAAGAGGAAAACAUACAGUUAAUAAAAUCUGGGGUGAGAAAAAGGCUGUUCUUGCUGGAGAUUUAAUUCUUUCUGCAGCGUCUGUAGCUCUGGCACGGAUUGGAAACACAGCUGUUGUAUCUAUGUUAGCCCAAGUUAUUGAAGAUUUGGUGCGUGGUGAAUUUCUUCAGCUAGGGUCAAAAGAAAAUGAGAAUGAAAGGUUUGCCCACUACCUUGAGAAGACCUUCAAGAAGACAGCCAGCCUGAUAGCCAACAGUUGUAAAGCAGUCUCUGUCCUGGGUUGCCCUGACCCAGUGGUGCAUGAGAUAGCCUAUCAGUAUGGGAAAAAUGUUGGAAUAGCUUUUCAGCUCAUAGAUGAUGUAUUGGAUUUCACCUCAUGUUCUGACCAGAUGGGCAAGCCAACAUCUGCAGACCUGAAGCUAGGCAUAGCCACUGGCCCUGUCUUGUUUGCUUGCCAGCAGAUUCCAUAGUCACUACUACUGGAGAACUUACUUCAUCCUUCAGGCAUAGUGCCAGGGAAACUGGCAACUGCAUCAGCAUGGAUAUCAGACAGAAAGCAUCCUACCUCUUACUCCAUAGAAUUACAGACUGCUAGAAAUUGGACAGUUGAAACAGAAAAGAAGACUGAGAUGAGGAAAUUAUUCAGCUGGGAUGGUUGCUGGCAGAACCUGGAUAUGGGGUUUCUGUCUGGAUGCCGUCCUCCUAAAUAACCAGUAAAAAUGAAGAGGAUACAAGACAUUGUCAUCAUUACUGAGGGACUUAUAGUGUGUGUCACACACGGUGGGGAGACAGGUGUCUGAGUAGUCAGUUCUUUCUUCAUCAAACUCCAGUCAUCAGACCAUGCACACUCAACCAGACCAUUUCUCCAGCCUGUUUUGUUGUUGUUGUUUGUUUUUGUCUUUUUGCUAUCAGACCUUUUUAUUCCCUCUCUUGUGCUACAAUGAAUAGGACUAGCCACUGAACCUAGAAAAGCAGAAGGAUUUUCUUCCCCUAUGAAGUCUUCAAGCCCAUGAAUUUUUGUUUCUUGUGUUAGGAAUGGAACAAAACUCUAAAUAUGCUGGACAAAUGCUCUAAUGCUGAGCUGUACCUCUGAUCUUUUUAUAACUUGGUACACUGAUCUGGCUGAUCUAUCUCCUCCAGUCCAAAGGAGGUGUGCAUUAAAACAUUUGAUGAUCAUAACACCAGUAUAAUCAGAUUUGUGGGGAGUGGGAUCAAGGCACUUAAUCCCCCGAUGAUUUCAGUGUGCGCUCAACAGUGUCUAAUUCCUAACCUUUUCGUAGAACACCAGUUCCAACAUCACUUGGCAAUUCAUUAAAAAGGCAUUCUCAAACCAUAGCCUACUGAAUUAGAACCCCAAAAGCUCAAGAAUACAGUACUUGGUUCUCCUGAGACUUACUCAGUACUGGACUGCUAAUAGGACAAUUAGUUCUGUUUUGUUUAAUGUGUAUGUGCAGGCUUGUCUGUUGUGUACUGCGUAUAUGUUGUGCACUUGGAGGUCAGAGGGGAAAUUACAGAAGACUCAUCUGCCUGGGUGCUAAGAACCCAAUACAAAUUCUUUGCAAGAGCACCAAGUGUUCUUAACUAUUGAGACAUCUCUCCAGCCCCACCUUUUGUUUUUCUUAUUUUCUAUAUUUACAAACAAGUAUUAACAUGCUUCAUUGCUCCAGGAACAAUAAAAAUAUUUUCCUUCUUUAUGGUUAGUUCCCAGAAAUGAAUGCUAUGAUAAUGAGACGGUUCAGUUUGCCAGGAGAUGUGGACAGAGCACGACAGUAUGUAUUACAGAGUGAUGGCGUGCAGCAAACAACCUACCUCGCCCAGCAGUACUGCCACAAAGCUGUGAGAGAGAUCAGGAAGCUUAGACCAUCUACAGAAAGGGACGCCCUCAUUCAGCUUUCAGAAAGUGUGCUCACCAGAGAUAAAUGACAAUUCCUCCUCUUCUUUCUGGCAGCUAUUUUACCAGACUGUGCCUAAUGAUUUUGUGAAACACUAUUUGCUUCAUGUGCAGAAAACCAAAAAUCAUUU